rnacentral:rRNA from 1 species
GAUGAACGCUGGCGGCGUGCCUGAUACAUGCAAGUCGAGCGAACAGAUGAGGAGCUUGCUCCUCUGACGUUAGCGGCGGACGGGUGAGUAACACGUGGAUAACCUACCUAUAAGACUGGGAUAACUUCGGGAAACCGGAGCUAAUACCGGAUAAUAUAUUGAACCGCAUGGUUCAAUAGUGAAAGACGGUUUUGCUGUCACUUAUAGAUGGAUCCGCGCCGCAUUAGCUAGUUGGUAAGGUAACGGCUUACCAAGGCAACGAUGCGUAGCCGACCUGAGAGGGUGAUCGGCCACACUGGAACUGAGACACGGUCCAGACUCCUACGGGAGGCAGCAGUAGGGAAUCUUCCGCAAUGGGCGAAAGCCUGACGGAGCAACGCCGCGUGAGUGAUGAAGGUCUUCGGAUCGUAAAACUCUGUUAUUAGGGAAGAACAAAUGUGUAAGUAACUAUGCACGUCUUGACGGUACCUAAUCAGAAAGCCACGGCUAACUACGUG